rnacentral:rRNA from 1 species
UCGGGAAUUUUGGGCAAUGGGCGAAAGCCUGACCCAGCAACGCCGCGUGAAGGAUGAAGUAUUUCGGUAUGUAAACUUCGAAAGAAUAGGAAGAAUAAAUGACGGUACUAUUUAUAAGGUCCGGCUAACUACGUGCCAGCAGCCGCGGUAAUACGUAGGGACCAAGCGUUGUUCGGAUUUACUGGGCGUAAAGGGUGCGUAGGCGGCCAGAUAAGUAGGGUGUGAAAGCCCCCGGCUCAACCGGGGAAUGGCGCUCUAAACUGUCUGGCUGGAGUGAGAUAGGGGUGUGCGGAACUUCCGGUGGAGCGGUGAAAUGUGUUGAUAUCGGAAGGAACGCCGGUGGCGAAAGCGGCACACUGGAUCUCAACUGACGCUGAGGCACGAAAGCCAGGGGAGCAAACGGGAUUAGAUACCCAGGUAGUCCCUGAGCGGGCUGGCAAGGCGCAU